UACGUAGGUCCCGAGCGUUGUCCGGAUUUAUUGGGCGUAAAGCGAGCGCAGGUGGUUUAUUAAGUCUGGUGUAAAAGGCAGUGGCUCAACCAUUGAAUGCAUUGGAAACUGGUAGACUUGAGUGCAGGAGAGGAGAGUGGAAUUCCAUGUGUAGCGGUGAAAUGCGUAGAUAUAUGGAGGAACACCGGUGGCGAAAGCGGCUCUCUGGCCUGUAACUGACACUGAGGCUCGAAAGCGUGGGGAGCAAACAGG
rnacentral:rRNA from 1 species